rnacentral:rRNA from 1 species
AUGAGCGCCGCACCGCCGCCACAAGGCUCCGGCGACCUCCGGCCCUAUGCGCCGCACUGCCGCCCUAAGGCUCCAACGACCUUCUGCCCUGUGCGCCGAGCUGCCGCUGUGCCGCCUGUCCAUGCCUCCAUGCUACCCACGCGCCCACCACCAUCUCCGCGCCAGGAUCCUGUGCACCGCGCUGUCAUCUCCGGCGUGUCUCCACCUACGCACGUCCCAACUCGGCGCCCCCGCACCCCCAUCUCUUGCGCGCCGCUGCCUACGGCUGGGAUCUCGCACCUGCAGCCGCUUCUCCACCACAACCCCACGAGCUGCAGCACAGCGACGGCUGUCGUGCUCCAUCUCUCAUCCAUUUCUUCCACACAUGCUCCAAACAUACCUCUAUCUCUCUUUGUCCCUGUUCGUCAGCAACAAGCAUCAGUUGUUUCUUGUUGUUUGUUUUAUGACCUGCUCACUAUAUUGUAUGAUCCAAAGGAUUUGAUGUACCAGCAAUCAGCAUCCAGCAGUUGCAAUUUUUUUUUUUUGAAACGAGGCAAAAGAUUUGCCAUUUCAUUAAAUAAGAGAGAGUUGUAA